CAAAGGUAGCAUAAUCAUUUGGGACUUAAUUAGGACCUGGAAUGAAUGGUUGGACAAAGGAAUAACUGUCUUUAUGACAAGGGUUGAAGUUUACCUUUAAGUGAAAAGGCUUAAAUAUUUCAAAGGGACGAUAAGACCCUAUAAAGCUUUAUAAAUAAUUUAAAUUUUAUUGGUGUAAAGAUUAAAGAUUAAGUUUAGUUAUUUUAUUUCGUUGGGGCGAUGAAAGCAUAAUUACAAGUAACUGCUAAUAAUUAAAGAUUCUAUUAUAAGAGAAUUAUUUAUAAUGAUCCUAUAUAAAGAUUUAAAGGCUAAGUUACUUUAGGGAUAACAGCGUUAUUUCUUUUGAGAGUUCAUAUCGAAAAAGAAGAUUGCGACCUCGAUGUUGAAUUAAAAUGUCUAUAUAAUGAAGGCGUUAUAUAAGAGGGUCUGUUCGACCUUUAAAUUUUUACAUGAUUUGAGUUAAACCGG
rnacentral:rRNA from 1 species